rnacentral:RNase_P_RNA from 1 species
GGAGUUGGCCAGACAGUCGCUCUUUCCAUGCGGGAAGGGAGGAAAGUCCGGGCUCCAUCGGGCGAGGUGCCAGGUAACGCCUGGGGGGCGUGAGUCCACGGAAAGUGCCACAGAAAACAAACCGCCGAUCCCGCGCCCGUCGUGGGAGGUAAGGGUGAAAUGGUGCGGUAAGAGCGCACCGCGCCGGUGGCAACAUCGGUGGCAGGGUAAACCCCACCUGGAGCAAGACCAAAUAGGGGAACCGGCAGUUUCGGCUGCGCCGCGCGGCCCGCGCGUGUUCCCGGGUAGGUCGCUUGAGGCGCGCGGCGACGCGCGUCCCAGAUGAAUGACUGUCCACGACAGAACCCGGCUUAUCGGCUAACUCCCUUC